AUGCGGGAGGACGAGCUGCUUUGCGACGCAUGGUUGACCACUAGCCUCGAUCCUGUCCAUGGCACGGAGCAAAAGGGCACAACCUUUUGGAGGAACAUUCAUAUAUGGUUCCAUGAGAAUAAGCAUUUCAUGCCCUACUCCAACGCGUUGAUCCGCAACCGUGAGUGGAAGUCCCUCGCCCUUCGAUUGUACACCAUCCAAGAGGUCGUCUCCAAGUAUUGCGGGCACUUGAAGCAUCUCACCGCGCGGUGGCCUAGAGGUGCACAAAUCACCGAGCAAUUGGAGAAGAAGUCCUUCACCGUCAUGCAUUGUUGGUUAAAGUUGAAUGGGGCAACCGAAGUGGAACCUUUUCAUUGCCAAGACCACCGCCUAAGCCAACGAGGAAGAAACCGUGAACCUACCGACCCAGCCCAAGAAUCGUCGAAGAAGGUUAGAAGAAAUCCGCGGGGCAAGAAGUGGGAGGAGGAGAGGGCGAAGCGAGAAGGUGCAGCGCCCAAGUUGACGGAGGGUUUGAGGAGAUCUUGGCGAAGAAGGAAGAGGCAUGCGAAGAAUAUCAAGCUCAAAGAGAGGAGGACCAUGAUCGAGGAGAGAAAGGCGACGCUCGGGGAGAAGAAGGCCGCACUCGAGGAAAAGAGGGUGAAGAUCACUGCCAAUGCGGAGGACACCAAGAUGUUGACAUUGAAUAUCAACUCUUCGGAUGGCAAUGCUAGAAUUAUUGUGCAAUCCAUCCGCUACAAGAUGUUGGAGCGGCAGAAAGAUCAGUUGGCAACGGUGCAAGAUGAGGACAUGGCGAAGGCGGACGCGGACGCGGAGGCUGCCUACAUGGUGACGAAACUAAGCAUAUUUGCUCCUUUUGGUUCUGAUCGGGGAUGCGAUCCGGCGCGGAUACGCAGGGAUGACAAUGUGUACCCAUUAUCCACGUACCCGAUGGGUAAAAAGCAACGGUAUGGGACAAAAAGUCAUCAUGGUGCCCGUUUACCUUGUCCAGUGACAGGCUCAAAGGGAACAUGUAAGGGUAUGGGGUGGAUCAACUUGUAUCCUAACCCGGUGGGUGCCAUCCCUAUACAUAGGGAGGUUUUUCUCAAUAAAAGGUCGACGGCGACAAUGACGCCGAGAUGUGACGACAACUCCGUAGCUGCCGCAAGCCAUAGAGGCAACCACUCCCAUCCAACCGAUGAGGCCGAAAAUAGAGUGGACGGAGGGGGGAAAGCUGGGAAAUUAAUACUUGCGAGUUUAAUCAAGCCCGCCUUCCCGCAGAAAUGGACGGGGAUUUCCGUGGUAACCAAGCCGUCUCCCGUGUUCUCACUUUCCUCGCUUCCCAACUCUGACUCGCAAGCGCAAGCCAAGCCACCACCUUCUUCCCUCCCCCGUUCCGUCCCAAGGGACUCCCACGCCCUACAAAACCCCCGUCCUCCCAGCUUCCCUCCCAGCACCAGCAGCAGUCCCACCUCACCCGAAUAA
rnacentral:rRNA from 1 species